GACGGAGGGUGCAAGCGUUGUUCGGAAUUACUGGGCGUAAAGCGCGGGCAGGUGGCCCUUUAAGUCCUUUGUGAAAUCCCGGAGCUCAACUCCGGAUGUGCAUAGGAUACUGGAAGGCUAGAGACUGGUAGAGGCGAGCGGAAUUCCUGGUGUAGCGGUGGAAUGCGUAGAUAUCAGGAGGAACACCGAUGGCGAAGGCAGGUCUCUGGGCCACUACUGACGCUGAGAAGCGAAAGCAUGGGGAGCGAACAGG
rnacentral:rRNA from 1 species